AACUGAAGAGUUUGAUCCUGGCUCAGAUUGAACGCUGGUGGCAUGCUUAACACAUGCAAGUCGAACGGUAACAGGUCUUAGGAUGCUGACGAGUGGCGGACGGGUGAGUAACGCGUAGGAAUCUGCCCAUUUGAGGGGGAUACCAGUUGGAAACGACUGUUAAUACCGCAUAAU
rnacentral:rRNA from 1 species